UGUGGGAGCGGGCUUGCUCGCGAUUCAAGCGCCGUGUGUCUGGAUGACCGCGUCGAUGCCAUCGCGAGCAAGCCCGCUCCCACA
rnacentral:misc_RNA from 1 species